UUUAGAAGAGUUUCGWAUUGAGAAUCGUGGAAUGCAAAAUUAAGGGGAAAUUAGCUGAAUUAUUCCAGGAAUGCAAUGUAACUGUAAAAAUACUUACUUGCAAGUGGWAAUGAGAGUGAACACACGUAGUUUUUGAUUGUUGGUGCGAAUAUUUGUUAAAAUUGGUGAAAAGUUUUUGUUUAAAGUGUUAAAUUGUGUUUUUAUUUAAUUUAAAGUUAGAAUCGUUAUUAAGUGCAAAAAAUAGUGUCGUGAAAGUCGUAGUGCGUUAGAAWMCUCGAAAGUACGAGUUUUUGUUCAAAUUCAGUAAGUGCGUAGUCGGGUUUGUUCGUGGGUGUGUAUUUUWUUGUAUUGUAUUUGUAUGUAAUAAGCUUCACGAGUUUCGCGGUUGGCUUACGUCGCGUGUGUCGGGUAUUAGGUGCUACAGUGUUGUUAUAAGAAAUAGCGCAUGGUGUAAUAUUGACAGGGCAAGUUUAAAAAGGCUUGCGACAUCUUCAACUGCUGCCACGCCUACUAUGUGUUUCGCCAUGCAACUUUAUGGAUUUGCCAAGUGUGCUUUGGGUUGCGUUAUUUGURCGCGGUAAUAAAAUUUAUGCGACGCUGAGCACGCGCGGGCGCUAAACGCUACAAAUAAACGCGGCCUAACCAACAACAACAACAACCAGUUGCAAGCAAACAAUAUAUGCAAAGGUAAACAAUUGUCUGUCGCUGCGCUGUUACAUAGGUGCGGGUGAAUGUUCACUUUACUGAUGUGGCUGCGAAGGCACGUAAUCCAGCACACAUACACAUAUAAAUAAAUAUUUAUUGCUGGAGGAAUAAGGAGUUAAUUCGGCCGU